rnacentral:rRNA from 1 species
CCUACGGGAGGCAGCAGUGAGGAAUAUUGGUCAAUGGACGAGAGUCUGAACCAGCCAAGUAGCGUGAAGGAUGACUGCCCUAUGGGUUGUAAACUUCGUUUAUAAAGGAAUAAAACGAGGCACGUGUGCCUUUUUGCAUGUACUUUAUUAAUAAGGAUCGGCUAACUCCGUGCCAGCAGCCGCGGUAAUACGGAGGAUCCGAGCGUUAUCCGGAUUUAUUGGGUUUAAAGGGAGCGUAGAUGGGUUGUUAAGUCAGUUGUGAAAGUUUGCGGCUCAACCGUAAAAUUGCAAUUGAUACUGGCAGUCUUGAGUACAGUUGAGGUAGGCGGAAUUCGUGGUGUAGCAGUGAAAUGCUUAGAUAUCACGAAGAACCCCGAUUGCGAAGGCAGCUUACUAAACUGUGACUGACAUUGAUGCUCGAAAGUGUGGGUAUCAAACAGGAUUAGAUACCCCUGUAGUC